AUUCUAAUUUCAUUUCUUUUCAGCCAAAUUUGUAGGAUAUGUUAACAAUACCCUAAAAAACUUGUACACUGAAUUUUAUUUUUUUUGUCUGCCUCACUCUUACUCCUGGAUUGUUUCCAAGUUGAAAUAAUGCCAAAUUUUAGAGGAUGGCUUCUCAAUAUGAUGAAGAACAUUUUACUUCAGUGUCAUGUCCUAUUUAUUCCAUAAAGGCAUGUUGUGAAUCCCACUCAAACUUUGUUUUGAUACUUAAUUUAUGCAAGUUUAUUGAUUUUUAUGCAUAAAUAAAGAUGUAACAUUUUUUGGGGUCAAUAUAUCAUA